CAGAGGCUUCUCCGGUUCCCCAGCAGAAAAGAUGAGGAAGCCUGAGACCCAAACUAACAAGAGUCCACCUCUACUGGAAAAUGGACAGGAUUCAUUUGCACUCCUGCUAAGGUUAGACUCCAAAGCGCAGCCGCACUUCGGUGGCCCUUGUCAAAGAACCUAGACACAGAAAGACACUGCCUGCAUGACUGUGGGUGCCUCCGAGGCUAGUGGAGCUUCCAGAUGGCCAUAACUACACAUCAGACCAGGGAGCAGCAUGCAGGACCAAGAAGAAUGAAGUAUAUGCUUGUGUCUCAAUCACAAGGCAAAGCCACAGACGGGGCAGGCUGCCUCUUCAAACCCUUUUUCCUGUUCCACGGCAUAUCCAUGCUGCCCCUUCUUGCCAUCCUGACCUCCCGUAGCAGCUGCCGACAUCAGCUUGAGACACAGACAGCCCCACUGGGCAUCUUUACAUGGCUGACGAGUCUGGGACCAGCACUGCACUCUUGACAGCAAGUCACCCAGCCUUGUGUGGAUUUCCUCAGGAAGUGCCCAGUGCACCACCAUCUGAUUGUGGGAGUCAUUCAGACUGACCUGAAAGAGACCAAAAGGAGAUCAAGGACCCAUGCCAUACUACAGGAAAAGGCAGGAAGCAGUCUCCAAAGGACUGGUGUGCCAUCCUCCAUGGACUGUGACCAGGAAGCCAACAGCCUUCAGGACAGCCCCCAACAUCAAGAGCCGACAGAUUCCAGCGACUGGAUCCCCUUAGUGGCGGUGUCUAGUUUGUUUCAUCCUCCACAGCUAGCUCUCCUUAUCACCGAAGGCCUCUGUAUAGCAGCUGCAGGCUGCUUGCAGAUUGGUUCCACCAGCCUCUCCCAGUUCCACACACUGAUCUAGGAAGGGACGCUGCCUGCCAGGGUGUGGGAGAAGGUGAGAGUGUGACUUUUCCAGGAACAUAACCUUGACGAGUAGUCAGUCAUAACCAUAACCCCCGGGUAUAAACAACCUUCUUUCUCUUUUCUCUGGCUCACAGGGCAUAGCUGGAGCCUGAUAAAUGAGACACAAUUAAUUGGGGCCAUAAAGGUGGCAGGGAGGGGUGGAGUACCUCUGCUCCAAAAGGGACCGGGGGAGGGGGAGGGAUAUGAUUGCCUGCCACAGGGAUCUCGAGUAAAAGUGCAUCUAUGACAAACUAAAUCCAGCAGCCUGUCAGACCUCUGCUAGGCUCACAGGCAAAGGGUUAAGAGAACCCUCAGAGGCCACCUAGCCCAGGAUCAGUACCCCAGAGCUCACCUGGCUGAAAAAUAGAGACCUAGAGGUCCACUCCCCCAAAUCAGAAGACCUGUAAGGUCACAUCCUAUAGAUACUUAUUCAGAAGCCCUUGGACGGUGACCCAUGAAUGAGCAUAUGAAAAACCCCAUAAAAGUCUCUAGCUCAUUUGGGAGAUGAUGACUGUGGUCCAUUCUGUUGCUUUCAGUUAGUGAGAGGCCAAGAAAACACUGUUUUAGUGGGUUGAAGAGAAAUCAACAGUCUUUGAGGGGAGUUGGGGAGACAGCUGUCUUUUGGGGAUUUGUCGUGGUUGUUAAUGAAGAUUUUAUGUCAUGCUAACUCAUUGCUUUAAUACAGAUAAACCUUAAAAACAAGGUGCCAGACACAAAAGGUCACAUACCGCUUGACUCAAUUUAUAUAAAAUAUCCUGAGCAGGUAAAUCCACAGGGACAGAAAGCAGUCGGGUGGCUGCCAGUAGGAUGAGGAAGAGGAGAGGAGGGAGGACCUGUGAUUUUUCUUUGGGACUAAUGAGAAUGUUAUGCACCUGGACAGAGAUAGUGGAUACACAGGACAUAGAUGUAUCAAAUGCCACUGCCUUUUCAAGGGCUGCUACGUAAAUUUCACUUCAUUUUUUUUAAAGCAUUUCUAUGACCCCAUGUAGAACACUAGACUUCUCAAGUGCAGAUCCAAUACCUAGGCGCUCCUACUUGUAAGAAGUACUUAUUUCCUUUCAGCUCGCUGUGAGCCUUCCCGCUACCAAAAUAUGUAGCUAGAAUGAGUCAUAAAGCAGGCAGGCUAGGGACUGGGUCUCUGGCCAAAGCGAUACUUCAAAGCAUUGUGAGCAGCAUCUGCAGAGCCACAGCACCACAUAAACCUCGCUGUCCCCAGCCAGAGCGACUCUAGGUCACAGGCUCCACUGGGGACUAUUAGCUACCGCAGGCUCCCAGCAAUCAUCACCACCCACACCUUGACAUAGCUCAAAGUCUUUACCAAGCAUCACCACCCACUCUGGCCUUCUCUCGGUCCCCCAGCAUGCCCUAAGGAUACACAGAGGUACAAAGAUUUGCUUCUUAUUAUUCAGAGUGGUGGGGGGGGGUGGAGUCAGGCUGCACUAUCCAUUCCUCAGGCAGAGGAAUAAA